rnacentral:lncRNA from 1 species
UGGGAGGUUGACAGACACAGACCCGGGGACAGCGAGACGCACGGAAGCCGGGAUGGUGCGUCUCGGUCGGAUGCAGACUCGGGCUUGGUCCCCGGGGAGAAGAAGGAAGCAGGAGCAGGGAGAACCAGGACAGGGGGACAGACAGACGCAGAGACCCGAGCUGCGCGGGCCACGGCAGAGGCCAGGCAGGCCGGGAUGGAAGAAGGGAGAACCGGGACAGGGGGACAGUGGGACAGAGAGACCCAGACUGCGCGGGACACGGACUCGGGCUUGGUCCC